UACGUAGGGGGCAAGCGUGGUCCGGAUUUAUUGGGCGUAAAGAGCGUGUAGGCGGCCUGACAGGUCUGCUGUGAAAACUCGAGGCUCAACCUCGAGAUGUCGGCGGAAACCGUCUGGCUAGAGUCCGGAAGAGGAGAGUGGAAUUCCUGGUGUAGCGGUGAAAUGCGCAGAUAUCAGGAAGAACACCUAUGGCGAAGGCAGCUCUCUGGGACGGUACUGACGCUGAGACGCGAAAGCGUGGGGAGCAAACAGG
rnacentral:rRNA from 1 species